AUAUGGCCACUACCUACACCCACCCUGUCUGUUAGCUAGUCAAUAUGGCCACUACCUACACCCACCCUGUGUCUCUCUGUCUGUUAGCUAGUCAAUAUGGCCACUCCCUACACCCACCCUGUUUGGUAGUAUGGGAUCUCGGUGUAUGUGGAACUUCUUUAAAUUGUCCUUUCACUCCUAGUUACAUUAUUCUGACUAGAGUAUUCUCUUUUGUUAACCUUUGAAUAACUAAUCCAUUAUGCAUUGAACAUUAAUUUCUGUACCACAAUAUUACAUCAAUUUCAUUAUUACAUAAUUUUAGGGAAGUAUGCUUUGUUCUAAGUUUGUUGAGUUGUUUUGGGAGACAGUACCACCUGGUGGUCUAAUGCUACCAUGUUGUGUUUCAGAGUCCAGAUGAAUACUGUCUGAUCUGGGUCGCUGCUGAUCUCAUCUCCUUCACUGUAGUUAUAGGAAUUUUUGUUUUCCAAAACUAUCACAUUAUCAGGUGGAGGUUGAGUGGCAUGCACAGCUACAACCCUGAACAGAUCAUGCUGAGUGCCGCGGUCCGGAGGUCCAGCAGAGACCUCAACAUCAUGAAGGAGAAACUCAUCUUCUCCGGUCAACCGCAGUAGCAGUCUCAACCUGUGUGUGUGUGACCUGCACUCCUCUCCACCUCCACUCCUCUUCAUCCUGCCAUCUCUCCAUCCUCCUCUGCCUGCUGUGACCAUUCCUCCUCCAUUCCAUCCCUCCCUUCCCCUCUCUCUCUGCCUGCCCCGCCUUUCCCCCUCUCCUCCCCAAUCACCCACCAGAGACCUCUGCCAUUUAAAAGGGUGCCUAGACAGCCCACUGAGACCCACCAGCCUCUCCUGGUGGGUGGUGAAAGAGGUGAGCAAUGGUGUGGGCAGUGCUGAGGACCUGUACAUGGAGAAUGGCUUCGACUACUACAACAACGAAGGCAUCUCCCAUUGACUCUUACUCACCGGAUGUGAAUCUACUCACCUAAUGUGACACCCGACUCUACUAGCAUGUGGAAACUGAGUAAAUUAAGACUUCCAAGUGACUGUCUUGUGAUUGGGCUUAUCUAUUGUUAUGAUUACUCUUGUUUUACUCAGUGUAUCCAGAUAGUUAUUGGUUUGUUCCUCCUACUUACUGACUGAUUGACAGGCUGCUGUAUUACUGAAGAAUCCAAGGCAAGCACCACCCAUUGCUUUGUACAUUCUGUAAAUAGGUUUGUUUUUGCUUGUUAUAUACAAUGUGGGACUAAAUGCACUUUUUAUUGAUGAACUGAUUGAUUCGUCAGAUCUGAUCUAUGGCCUCUUCUCCUCACCUCUGUGGGCAAACUUGUUGGCUCGAGUUCCACAUCAGGAUUUCAUCAUUCAGUGGAGAGUCAUGCAUUUUAUUUAUAUUUUUUACCAAUUUGUUGGCCAGAAAAAGGGCAAUUAAAAAAUAUAUUGGUCCAUUUAUAUAUAUAUAUAUUUACUUAAACCUCCCGUGUGCUGGGAUUGAAUGGGUUCAUGGGCCGGAUCUGGCCCUCUGCCGUAGUUUUUCCCACCCCUGCUCUUGAUGCUUGGAGGCCCCCCCCCCCCCCCAGUUAUCAAUGCUUUUUUUUGUUUGUUUCUACACUGUUAUUUGGAUUUCUUGCAGUCACUUUAUAGCACAGCCAAAUCUUAUUAUUUACAGGAAUUACUAUUUGUGCAGCAUGCUCCUUUUUCUUGCCUUUGGGCGCUAUUCUAAUUCAUAGGAACAAAAAGAACAUGCUGUUUACAGAAGUCCUGCCUUCUCCGACUGAAAUAGUUACAUGAUGUAAGAUAAUGAUUUGAACAGCAUUUCCAAGCAUAUGAUAUACAAUAUUAAGUGACUUGUGGAGCUGUGCUGUCUCGGGCCGGGCUUGUGUUCAGGCAGAACUAAUGUUUACUCAGUGUUUUCGGGUUCAUUGUGAAUGUGUUUUGAUUUUUAAAGGAUGUGUACAGUGCAUGUAUUAUGUAGAGAUUUCACCCCUACCCUCAGUGUGCAGUCCUACAUAGUGUGCACAUAUUACAGAUGUUUUAGGUGCUAUGGCUGGCUGAGCAUUAUAUUGGAAAUGUCAUCCUGAUUAUGUAUAAUAAUAGCUAUAGUGUUGAAGAGUUUAUGAAAGUAAUUUAAAUACUUUGCCGGCCCAACUUCUCAAUGGCAUUUGAACAGCAAAGUGCAUCAAAUCAAUUGGUUUCUAAAGGGGGACAUGAAAGGGUGUCUGUGAUGAGAUGAAGUGGGGUGUGUUAUAUUAACUGUGAAAAUAAAGCUGGAGGCUGUUGAAGGGAUGAUGCUGAGUAUCAUUAUAGUUCAAACCGGGUCAAGGAAUGGAUAGACUUGUUCAUUUACUCCUUUGGUUAUUUAUGUGCCUCAGAAGUCAAUAAUUAAAAUUCUUCUGAUACCGAA